rnacentral:tRNA from 1 species
GCCUGGAUGGCUCAGUCAGUUAAGCAUCUAACUUCGGCUCAGGUCAUGAUCUCACGGUUUGUGGGUUCAAGUCCCACCUCAGGUU